rnacentral:rRNA from 1 species
GAGGGUGAAAAGAACCUGAAACCGUUACGGGGGAAGCGAAUUGCGUCGAAUUGAUUUUAUGGGGGGUGCACUGUUCAGCGCGUUUUGCGUGUACUCAGGGCAUUUUUCCUUACCCGUCGUGGGUUUUUGGAUGGUCGAAUUUGGGCCGUCUAGGACUGAGGGAUCCUCUUUGUUUAUAAGGGUGAGGACGAUGGGGCGCUGACGCGAUACGACCCGUCUUGAAACACGGACCAAGGAGUUCAGCAUAUGUGCGAGUCAAAGGGUGGUGAAACCUGAGGGCGCAGUGAAAGCGAUUUAACACGGAUCGUGUAAGAACUAAAACAUAUCAUUUUCAGUUUUAAGGCGGCAUACAAUGGGUGAUUGUAGGACCGACCUCGAGCAGAUAUGCUGAGACCCGAAAGAUGGUGAACUAUGCCGGAGUAGGGCGAAGCCAGAGGAAACUCUGGUGGAGGCUCGUAGCGGUGCUGACGUGCAAAUCGCUCGUCUGACUUGGGUAUAGGGGCGAAAGACUAAUCGAACCAUCUAGUAGCUGGUUUCCUCCGAAGUUUCUC